rnacentral:rRNA from 1 species
AUUGAACGCUGGCGGCAUGCUUUACACAUGCAAGUCGGACGAGUGGCGAACGGGUGAGUCACGCAUCGGAACGUAACGUGUAAGGGGGGAUAACUGUCCGAAAGGACAGCUCAUACCGCAUAUUAUUCGCGCGGCCGAUGACUGAUUAGCUGGUUGGCGGGUUAAAGGCCCACCACGGCGACGAUCAGUAGCGGGUCUGAGAGGAUGACCCGCCACACUGGGACUGAGACACGGCCCAGACUCCGACGGGAGGCAGCAGUGGGGAAUUUUGGGCAAUGGGCGCAAGCCUGAUCCAGCCAUGCCGCGUGUCUGAAGAAGGCCUUCGGGUUGUAAAGGACUUUUGUCAGGGAAGCGGUACCUGAAGAAUAAGCACCGGCUAACUACGUGCCAGCAGCCGCGGUAAUAC